rnacentral:lncRNA from 1 species
CCGAUAUAGCUUAUAUGUGUAACACUCCAGGUUCCACAAACAACCCGGUAUGCUACUGUACUACACUUCCGACGUCCAUAUAUAAAAUUUCGGCAGCAUCCCCUUUGCAAGAUUGCAUAAAAGAGGGAGCAACAGAGUAUAAACAUAUAUCAUGACUAAAACAUACUAAGUAUUAUUACUCGACUAGCAAGGAAAGAUAAACAUACGACCUGAACUGAAUUAACCAGUGCGCAUGACCAUAUAAAAAAAUAAACAAACUUCCUUUGACAAUAAGUUUCUAAUUAAAUCAUGGCUGCGCCUGGGCAGCGUUAUUGUGAGAGUGAAAGUGGACGUGCUGCUACUCCCCUCAUUCCCAACAUGUAUCAAGUACCUGCAUUGAGUAAUGCAAGAGUGAGAUGACACAUCUCAGCAAGUAAAAUAAUAUCAAACAGUUUAACCACAUAAGAACAUUGUUUUACCACCACUUAAUUCCACAACCUUCUUAUUACGAAGGUGCAGCACGUAUACAACGUACAACGCACCUAGUUACCACACCUCGCAGGUAGAAACCACAAUAGUAACAUAGUAAAGUCACACUUCAUAUAUUCCUCAUGAGUGCAAAUGUCUGCAAAUGCAAGGAUGACUUCUGCCUUCAUACCUCUAAGGAUAUGAAGCCGCAUCGUACCCCUCCUCGGGCAACGUACGAUGCUAAAAAUGUACCGGUACGGUCGGACCAUAAGAUCACGACAUAACUUCAAAAUGCAAGAUGGAUGAUGCGAUGUGCAUGUCAUGCCUACAACACUUCAUAUAACAUGAUUCAAAAAGACACUUCAACUUCAUCCAGAUGGGAAUCAACCCCAUAUAUCAUUACCAAAUUAUGAUCAUCCACAAUAUUAGACAAUUGAGAAUUAAUACUUCCAAACAAAUAAACUUCAUCAUAGAAUUCAAUGAUUAACAUAAUUAAAACUUAUGCAUACUCAAUGACAGGGAAUAGGAUGCAAACCAAACGGUAGCAAUCACCACUGUAUUUACUUGCCUUUACCGGAAGUUCGGGCAAAUCCCAAGUACGAUCCGAAAGCCCACCACCUGUUUUUGACACCCAACUUAGUACACCAAUUUCACAUAAUCAGGCUCAUAAGCGACGCCGCACCUACGCACAAACUCAAACCCCGCCGCGGGUUACAUCUCUCCCUACACCCACCAAACUGCAGCGGCGCUGCUUAAUAAUUUCAUAACUUUAAAAUUAUGACAGCAGUGGUAACAAACAAAAACUCCAGAGGCAUUUACAUAAAAUUCCCCACAAGUUUUGUAUACAAUUUAUAAUUAAAUUCCAAUAUCUAAUUAGCCCAAAACAGUCCACAAGAUGAACCCUGUAAUCUGUUUUUCUUUGUCUUUUGGACAGCGACAUACCCAGAUUCAAACAGCGAUAUCUUUUAAAAUAUAAUUCCAAAUCAAGCGCAUAAGUACUCAUUGGAAAGAUAAGACAAAUCCCUACAUGAUUACUAUACUGGUUAACACUAAUUACCCACGAAAAAUUCCCAGAAACUGCUAAUACCACUGCUGUUCACCCACCUGAAAAAUCUGUUUUUUUGGACAGCAACAUAACCGGAUUCAAACAACGAUAUCUCCUGAAUUAUAACUCCGAAUCGAGCGCAUAAGUACUUGUUGGAAAGAUAACAUAAAGCCCUACAUGAUUCUCAUACUGAUUAACACUAAUUACUCCCGAAAAAUCCCCAGAAACUGCUAAUACUGCUGCUGUUCAUCCCCCUGAAAAAUCUGUUUUUUUGGACAGCCACACCCGGAUUCAAACGGUGAUAACUUUCAAUUUAUAACUCCAAAUUGAGCGCAUAAAUACUCGUUGGAAAGGUAAGGUAAAGUUCUACAUGAUCCCCAAACUGAUUUCCCUUAAUUCCUCACGAAAAAAACACAGAAACUGCUAGACUACUGCUGUUCACCCACCACCUAAAAUUCUGGACAGCCCCCCUCUACCCCAAUCGCAAACGCAACCUCUAAUCAAUUAAAUUGCAGUGCAAAUGAACAAGGGAUGAACACAAAAAAUCACCUUGGAUUCUCCCCUUUUCCUUCCUCCCUUCUUCCCUCCACCAAAACGAUUGAAGACUCGCACCACGACGACGAUGAUCCGAGCGGCAAGGAUUGGCACCUUGGGAGGAGGGGAUUGAGAGGGGGGCGGCUAGGGUUUGGUGGCUGCAAGAAUUGAGAGAGGAGGAGAUGGGCAGGGGGGCGGCGGCCAAGGCGGAAGAGAAGUGGGGGGGGGGGCGGCUGCACAUGGGGGGAGGGGGUUAGGAGGGAGGCGGCUAGGGUUUGGGAGGGUUAAUGGGCCGAAACUCCAAUUGCGGCCCAACUAACCCACGCGACAGCUCCCGACCGCAACGCAAGCGUCAAACCAAAUAAAUUCUACUACCCUAGUUGUGAAUGUUUUCCACAAAAUCCUAAAUCCCCAAAACAACAACCGGAUGAGGAAAAAAACAAAAAGAACAACCCCCAACUUCUCUUCUUUGCAAACCGGGUAUCACACUCUACCCCUCUUAAAAAGAAUUCGACCUCGAAUUCUGACGCUUCUAUCGGAACAACAAAAGAAAGGUUAAUGAAUCAACAAAACUCACACAUAAAGAAAAGUUCGAGUAUUUCUGCCGUAUCAGCUCCUCAAGCUCCUAGGAUUCUAAGAUACGCAGUAGAUGACACUCUAGAAUCUGCUCUUGCUACACAGGAAUCGGCUCUAGCUCGAUUUGAUGGUCUGGAUUCCGCAAAUACUUCCUCAACAAAAAGACAUGGAAUACUUGGUGUACUCUGAUCACAGAUUCCGACAAUUACUUGUGCUAAGCCCAGCUGCCAACUCGGCCAAGAUAGCAGACGAUCCUAUAUACCUCGGACCAAGCUUUCCUGACACCAAAUCAAUCAUUGACAUAUGCAAGUACUUCAAGGAAUGUAUAUAUGAAUGCAAGGCAUAUAAUGUACCUAUAGGCUAAACCAAACUUAGCCACACACGAGCAACUUCAAGAGAGCAACUUAAUGCUUGCAUAUUUCUAGAUAGCAGCACAGCGGUUAAUUGUUUUGCUCCUAACUCACAAAAAUAUGCAUCGAAAAUUAGUAAACUAGGACUUUAUGGAAAACUUAUAAAGUCCACUAUACCCUUGGUAUUAUCAUCACAACAAGAUUUGACACUUAGAAAGGUCAAACAGUGCUAAACGUAAAUUCUGUCCAGACUUGGACAUAAUUCAACUACUCAAUUCAAAAAUCCAUAAUUGGAGUCUCAAUCAUCCAAUUCAGGUGCUCCCAGACUUUUUAGAAAGCUAGUAGAAUUGUCUAUAAUUCAUUUAUAAACAUAUCAAGUUAAUUCAAUGCAUAUUAAGGUCAAAAGACACGAGAAAGGCUCUGCUGUCCAAAUUUGGACAGAUUCAGAGAUCACACUUAAAACAGCUAUAACUUAACUUAUAGAUCUCCAAAAAAAAUUAAUCCAAAAUUUGUUGUAACGAUUAAGAAAAGUACUACAACUUAUUUAUAAUUUAUAAUAAGUUAUUCGAAGUUCAAAUUGGGCAAACAAGGUCAGCUUCGAAAUCUGUAUAGAAUCUGCACAGAUUUCAAGACUAGACUUGAGAAAAUCAUAACUCCCAAACUACUAGACCUAUGGUCAUGAAAGUUUUACACAAGUAAGAUAAAUAAGUUGGCUACAACUUUUAUAUAUAACAUCUCUACAGAAAAGAUGGUUUACUUCACUGAACUAGCUGCAUAACUGAAACUGGUCAUGAAGUCCCAAUAGCAAGCAAUAGAUUUUAUCAGGUUCAUUACUCUUCUAAGAUUAAGCGUUCAUUGAAAGACUAAUAACUUUAGAUUCUUCAUUACGAGACACCUAGAACAAAUAUAAGUAUAGAAGCAAUAUGAUAACUUUUUAAAUCAUUUAAGCCUAAUCUCACAUCAUGCAAACAAGAAUCAAUUUAAGCAUGUUAUGUCUGCCCACAUAUUCAUCCAAGCACAUUCUAUACAUGAUAUCAUAACUCCCUGCAGCUAACAAAAUUUAGCAAAUAUAAACUCACUGAAAAGAUUAUAACAUUCCCUAGAACUUUUAUUAUAAUGAGUGUCUCGGAAUUGAUUUCCAAACCGAUAAAACAAUGCAACUCUUUUGUUUCAAAACUGAUAAGAUUGAAACAAUGGACAACUAAAAUUCAAAAACCUAUAACUCCUGCUAUACUCAACUUAAACUACAACGAACACGCAUUGGAAAAGUUUUGAAAAUUGUCCACGACUUUUGCAAUAAAGUUGCACCCAAAUUUAUCCUUAUAGCCCACAACUCUGCAUGACCUACAGCUAAACUCAGCCUGAGAUACUGCACAUUAGAGAUUCGACUUAUAUCCGGGCAACCACUUCUCCAAAUCUAUUUAACAAACAGUUACAAGUAAAUACCCAUUAAAAAGGUACUGAAAAUACCUACAAGUUUUGCUUAAAGAGAAUUCGCAAAUUUGUGCUCUGCAACUAUCAAAACGCGGUCGAUUUAUUGGUGAUUAUAACGACGCCUAAAGUUUAGACACAACAGUGCAACAACUUCAGAGCAACCUAACUCCAAUUAUAUGCAAUGAGAAUUAGAAACCCAUACUCUUUGCAAAGAUCAUGAAAUUACUAAAACUUUCAUAAUCCACAAAGACCAAAUUAUACCGUCUUCAAUGUCUACUCUUCCGUACAAAAUUAAAGACUCACUCUGCUAGAGACACCAACAAAGAUGUUUUAAGAAACCCAUAUCUCUCAAAUGUUUAGACCAAACAUGGUGAUUAAGCAUCCUAUGGAAAGAUGCAGAAACAUACUACAAAACAUUCUAGAUAAGUGAGCCUGAUUCAGCCUCCAACUAAUUUAAAAUGCCUCCCAAAACCAAACAUCACAUUAUCAACAAAUAAAAAAACAAUAUAUAAUGAAACCCAAGUCAUUGGCAGGUGCCAUCAACACUAGGAUUUUCCACUACCAAACUGGGAUGCAACUCCACAAAGUCUUUAAAUAACACUCUACCAAAUAGGUUAGAACACUAAGCACAACAAUCAAUGAAUUCAACAACCUCGUUUGUUAAUGCCACUAAGGUCAAACAUCCAUGUACCGACAAUGUAUGAAACACCUGACAUACCAUCUCCAGCUCUAUAAAACAUGGUUGUUAUUACACUAGAAUCCAACUACUAGAAAUCUCCAAAACUAUUCUGUUGACGUGAAGCAAAUGGUGCUCAUGUCAUAUAACAUCUUUUCCCCCUCUCAAAAGAGAUAAAAUUUGCAAUACUCAUAAAGCAAUGGAGGGAUAACAACAAGAAAAAACUAAUGUACUUCUUGACACAGACUCAUGCAAAAGCUUCAUAAAUAUUACUUUCAACACUAAAAUAAUAACACGAUACUAUGCUCAACAGGAGUAAUUGGACUUCAAUAAGAUAAUCCACCUAACCCAACUACUUUGAUUAACCUCACAUACAACAAUACCUCCUAUCAUUGCACUUGAACAAUUUGUACCUAGUGAUGUCAUAGGAUGAAUUCAAAGUAGUAGACAUACAUGAUCUAUCAAACCAUCAUUCAUAUAAUAAAAAUCUCCAUCUAAUGCAACAACCACAUCAUUAUAGAGAUAGAUGACUAACAAACAUAAGCAACUUCCAGUUAAACAUUGACUUUGUUUAAGAUAAAGCGGUCCAAAUAAUAAUUCCACAAGCAUGCAUAGAGAACUGAUCAUAUAAAAAACUACCAUGUAUCAUCGGCGAUUAAAAACAAUAUAAAACGGGUUGUCCAUAUCGUCCGCAUGACUAGCCUCCAACAAAUAGAAAUUAUGCAUAACCUUUUUGGCUAUAGAAACAAACCAUAGAAGGAAAACAUGCAUGCCUCUUCAACUAUAAUAUAGACAUAAAAUCCACUUGAAAUCACCCUAUUUAUUAUUAAAGAUAAGGUUGCACACAAUAAGAAAACCUAUCGUGUAAACAUGGUUGGACUUAUCUACCCACGUCAUCUUGCAAACCUAUUGUACUCUAAGAUCAAGUUGGCAAGUAGCCACACUAGCCAAAAAAAAGGUGAGGUGUAAAGCACUGCACCCAUGGAAAUAUUACAUUGAUAAGUUGGGUUGUAACCCAACAGUCAAUCCAACUCAACAACACCAUAAAACUUCAUUGUAUAGUGUUUUCACACUACACCAAGUCAGAUUAGAUCCUCUAUACACAAGCUCAAUAAACAAUCGGUCCUACAAGUACUAGAACCCAAGAAUCCUUUUGGGGGAAAAAACAUCCACAGUCAAGCAUAUAGAAAUAUAUGAUGGUAAUAGCUCAGAGAUUAGUAAACAUUGCAUCCCAAAAAACUUCAUGACGAUAUGUAUAUAAAACAAGUACAUUAGUAGCUUCACUCGCAUAAUAAUUUCAAUAACAACCACAUCAAGAAACCAAUAUUAAAUAGAAGUAACAUUUCAUAUCAAGCAUUACGUCGUUAAUGACAUACCUCAUCAAACCAUAAAGGGGUUUGGAGUAAGGAAAUUCUAGUCAUCUAUACAAUAAAAUACUAAUAUGAAAGAUAUAUGAACCCAUACCCUUCCUAUAUGUGCAAGUGUGUCAAAUUUAUCUUCAAAUUGCGUAGAAUCUAAAGCCUAUCCACUGAUACCAAAUGUAACACUCCAGGUUCCACAAACAACCCGGUAUGCUACUGUACUACACUUCCGACGUCCAUAUAUAAAAUUUCGGCAGCAUCCCCUUUGCAAGAUUGCAUAAAAGAGGGAGCAACAGAGUAUAAACAUAUAUCAUGACUAAAACAUACUAAGUAUUAUUACUCGACUAGCAAGGAAAGAUAAACAUACGACCUGAACUGAAUUAACCAGUGCGCACGACCAUAUAAAAAAAUAAACAAACUUCCUUUGACAAUAAGUUUCUAAUUAAAUCAUGGCUGCGCCUGGGCAGCGUUAUUGUGAGAGUGAAAGUGGACGUGCUGCUACUCCCCUCAUUCCCAACAUGUAUCAAGUACCUGCAUUGAGUAAUGCAAGAGUGAGAUGACACAUCUCAGCAAGUAAAAUAAUAUCAAACAGUUUAACCACAUAAGAACAUUGUUUUACCACCACUUAAUUCCACAACCUUCUUAUUACGAAGGUGCAGCACGUAUACAACGUACAACGCACCUAGUUACCACACCUCGCAGGUAGAAACCACAAUAGUAACAUAGUAAUGUCACACUUCAUAUAUUCCUCAUGAGUGCAAAUGUCUGCAAAUGCAAGGAUGACUUCUGCCUUCAUACCUCUAAGGAUAUGAAGCCGCAUCGUACCCCUCCUCGGGCAACGUACGAUGCUAAAAAUGUACCGGUACGGUCGGACCAUAAGAUCACGACAUAACUUCAAAAUGCAAGAUGGAUGAUGCGAUGUGCAUGUCAUGCCUACAACACUUCAUAUAACAUGAUUCAAAAAGACACUUCAACUUCAUCCAGAUGGGAAUCAACCCCAUAUAUCAUUACCAAAUUAUGAUCAUCCACAAUAUUAGACAAUUGAGAAUUAAUACUUCCAAACAAAUAAACUUCAUCAUAGAAUUCAAUGAUUAACAUAAUUAAAACUUAUGCAUACUCAAUGACAGGGAAUAGGAUGCAAACCAAACGGUAGCAAUCACCACUGUAUUUACUUGCCUUUACCGGAAGUUCGGGCAAAUCCCAAGUACGAUCCGAAAGCCCACCACCUGUUUUUGACACCCAACUUAGUACACCAAUUUCACAUAAUCAGGCUCAUAAGCGACGCCGCACCUACGCACAAACUCAAACCCCGCCGCGGGUUACAUCUCUCCCUACACCCACCAAACUGCAGCGGCGCUGCUUAAUAAUUUCAUAACUUUAAAAUUAUGACAGCAGUGGUAACAAACAAAAACUCCAGAGGCAUCUACAUAAAAUUCCCCACAAGUUUUGUAUACAAUUUAUAAUUAAAUUCCAAUAUCUAAUUAGCCCAAAACAGUCCACAAGAUGAACCCUGUAAUCUGUUUUUCUUUGUCUUUUGGACAGCGACAUACCCAGAUUCAAACAGCGAUAUCUUUUAAAAUAUAAUUCCAAAUCAAGCGCAUAAGUACUCAUUGGAAAGAUAAGACAAAUCCCUACAUGAUUACUAUACUGGUUAACACUAAUUACCCACGAAAAAUUCCCAGAAACUGCUAAUACCACUGCUGUUCACCCACCUGAAAAAUCUGUUUUUUUGGACAGCAACAUAACCGGAUUCAAACAACGAUAUCUCCUGAAUUAUAACUCCGAAUCGAGCGCAUAAGUACUUGUUGGAAAGAUAACAUAAAGCCCUACAUGAUUCUCAUACUGAUUAACACUAAUUACUCCCGAAAAAUCCCCAGAAACUGCUAAUACUGCUGCUGUUCAUCCCCCUGAAAAAUCUGUUUUUUUGGACAGCCACACCCGGAUUCAAACGGUGAUAACUUUCAAUUUAUAACUCCAAAUUGAGCGCAUAAAUACUCGUUGGAAAGGUAAGGUAAAGUUCUACAUGAUCCCCAAACUGAUUUCCCUUAAUUCCUCACGAAAAAAAACACAGAAACUGCUAGACUACUGCUGUUCACCCACCACCUAAAAUUCUGGACAGCCCCCCUCUACCCCAAUCGCAAACGCAACCUCUAAUCAAUUAAAUUGCAGUGCAAAUGAACAAGGGAUGAACACAAAAAAUCACCUUGGAUUCUCCCCCUUUCCUUCCUCCCUUCUUCCCUCCACCAAAACGAUUGAAGACUCGCACCACGACGACGAUGAUCCGAGCGGCAAGGAUUGGCACCUUGGGAGGAGGGGAUUGAGAGGGGGGGCGGCUAGGGUUUGGUGGCUGCAAGAAUUGAGAGAGGAGGAGAUGGGCAGGGGGGCGGCGGCCAAGGCGGAAGAGAAGUGGGGGGG